ACAUUCCACAGUUUCAUCAAGACCCAAUGUGACGUUACCAAACUGUUGCCUCGGCGGGAUCUCUGCCCCGGGUGCGUCGCAGCCCCGGACCAAGGCGCCCGCCGGAGGACCAACCAAAACUCUUAUUGUAUACCCCCUCGCGGGUUUUUUUUAUAAUCUGAGCCUUCUCGGCGCCUCUCGUAGGCGUUUCGAAAAUGAAUCAAAACUUUCAACAACGGAUCUCUUGGUUCUGGCAUCGAUGAAGAACGCAGCGAAAUGCGAUAAGUAAUGUGAAUUGCAGAAUUCAGUGAAUCAUCGAAUCUUUGAACGCACAUUGCGCCCGCCAGUAUUCUGGCGGGCAUGCCUGUCCGAGCGUCAUUUCAACCCUCGAACCCCUCCGGGGGGUCGGCGUUGGGGAUCGGCCCUGCCUUGGCGGUGGCCGUCUCCGAAAUACAGUGGCGGUCUCGCCGCAGCCUCUCCUGCGCAGUAGUUUGCACACUCGCAUCGGGAGCGCGGCGCGUCCACAGCCGUUAAACACCCAACUUCUGAAAUGUUGACCUCGGAUCAGGUAGGAAUACCCGCUGAACUUAAGCAUAUCAAUAAGCGGAGGAAAAGAAACCAACAGGGAUUGCCCCAGUAACGGCGAGUGAAGCGGCAACAGCUCAAAUUUGAAAUCUGGUCCCUAGGGCCCGAGUUGUAAUUUGUAGAGGAUGCUUUUGGUGAGGUGCCGCCCGAGUUCCCUGGAACGGGACGCCACAGAGGGUGAGAGCCCCGUCUGGCUGGCCGCCGAGCCUCUGUAAAGCUCCUUCGACGAGUCGAGUAGUUUGGGAAUGCUGCUCAAAAUGGGAAGGUAUAUGUCUUCUAAAGCUAAAUAUUGGCCAGAGACCGAUAGCGCACAAGUAGAGUGAUCGAAAGAUGAAAAGCACCUUGAAAAGAGGGUUAAAUAGUAGUGAUGUUUUGGGGGGGGGAGAGGGAAAACCCCCCCCUCCUCCCAGGUU
rnacentral:rRNA from 1 species